rnacentral:rRNA from 1 species
UGGCGAACGGGUGAGUAACACGUGGGUGAUCUGCCCUGCACUCUGGGAUAAGCCUGGGAAACUGGGUCUAAUACCGGAUAGGACCAUGCUUUAGUGUGUGUGUGGAAAGUUUUUUCGGUGUAGGAUGAGCCCGCGGCCUAUCAGCUUGUUGGUGGGGUAAUGGCCUACCAAGGCGGCGACGGGUAGCCGGACUGAGAGGUUGGUCGGCCACAUUGGGACUGAGAUACGGCCCAG